UACGAAGGGGGCUAGCGUUGCUCGGAAUGACUGGGCGUAAAGGGCGCGUAGGCGGCUUUAUAAGUCGGGGGUGAAAGCCUGUGGCUCAACCACAGAAUUGCCUUCGAUACUGUAGAGCUUGAGACCGGAAGAGGUAAGUGGAACUGCGAGUGUAGAGGUGAAAUUCGUAGAUAUCAGGUGGAACACCAGUGGCGAAGGCGGCUUUCUGGACGGUAACUGACGCUGAGGCGCGAAAGCGUGGGGAGCAAACGGG
rnacentral:rRNA from 1 species